rnacentral:rRNA from 1 species
GACGAACGCUGGCGGCGUGCUUAACACAUGCAAGUCGUACGGUAAGGCCCUUUCGGGGGUCCACGAGUGGCGAACGGGUGAGUAACACGUGAGUAACCUGCCCACAACUUUGGGAUAACGCUAGGAAACUGGUGCUAAUACUGGAUAUGUGCUCCUGCUGCAUGGUGGGGGCUGGUAAGCUCCGUCGGUUGUGGAUGGACUCGCGGCCUAUCAGCUUGUUGGUGGGGUAGUGGCCUACCAAGGCGGCGACGGGUAGCCGGCCUGAGAGGGUGACCGGCCACAUUGGCACUGAGAGACGGCCGAGACUCCUACGGGGGGCCGAAGUGGGGAAUAUUGCACGAGGGGCGCUAACCAGAUGCAGCACCGCCGCGUGCGGGAUGACGGCCUUCGGGUUGUAAAACGCUUUCAGCAGGGACGAAGCUUUUUGUGACGGUACCUGCAGAAGAAGCACCGGCUAACUACGUG